rnacentral:lncRNA from 1 species
AUGAAGGUCAAAGCUCAAACUAAAGACCUGAUAAUUUCUAUCAUACUUGAGAGGAUGGAGUUGGAAGAGGUCAAGGAAUCAGCUCACUUUAAGACAGGGUUGGAAGGAAAAUCUAAAGGAGAGAAGAAGAGUAAUUUCAAAGCCAGAGUACUGAGUCCUUCAUGUUGGGGCUUCCUGUGUCUCCUGGAUCAUUAUCCACUUUUGGUCAACAUACUUUUGGAGGUUGUCUGUUGGACUUUCUUCAGAUAUAGUUACUGUCCAUUUUUGUUCCAGGAAGAUCGGCUGUCAGUUCGGGAAGCUGCCCUUCCCCGUUUAUCUGUGCCUAGUAUAUUCGAAGACCUCACAUCUGAGGACAAGAAGCCACAAUAAGGAAAUGGCCCCAGCUGGUUCUAACCUUCACACAGGAGAUUUCAUGGCGUAGAGGAGAAAGUUGACACUAUUUCAGUGGGUGAGACUGCCAAGGAAGAGAAUACAAAACAGAGGAGAAAAGAAAGUUGAGGACAGAGCCUUGGGAAAUGCUUAUCUUUAGAUGAUGAAAAGAGGACAAAGAGCCUGAGAGGGAGAAAGAGGGACAGAUCAGAAAGUGGGAGCAGAACCAGGGACAAGGAAUGAAAUGGAAUGGAAGAGAGAAGAGAGUUGCCAAUGGAGUUGUAGUGGACGGGAUUGGUGGCAGAGAGAUAGUGAUAAAGAAGAGCACUUAGGUAAAGCAGGUGAAUUAAGAAUAGAUUUAGUAGUGCUGUGAAGUAGAGGGAGAAGGGGUAAAUUCUAGAUUGCCCCAAGUUAAGUCAGGGAGAGGACUGACACUGAAGAUGGAAAGGAUCAAAGGUGGAUGGAUAGAGAAAACACAGAAAUGAGAUGUCAUUAAGAACACAAUGGGAGAUAGCCUUGGAAGAGAGAACAGAGACCAGAACAACAUAAGAGGUGAACAACCAAGACAGAGAGAGAUUUUAGGUGGAGAAGGGGAAGUUGAAGUCUCUUAGUGUGACACACUAUAGCAUAGUGGUUACGAGAGCUGGCCCUCUGAGCAGACCCAGCUCUACCACUAACUUUAAGACCAUGCGUAUGUCACCUGACCACCCUAAACUUCAGUUUCUUUUUUCACUCCUUCCUCAAAUAGGGAUAAUGACAAAACUUAUAAAGUUGGAGUGAGGACUAAAUGAGUUAAAACUUAGAGCAGUACUUGCCCAUAAUCACUAUUUCCUAUCAUGUAGGCUGGCAAGGGUCUCCUCUUAAGAGUUUCUGGUAGGAAAAUCAUGGACGAGCGAAGGUGUAGUGGCAGAGCUAGGGAGUGAGGACCGUUUGAAAUGGUUGAUCAUGUGCUUCAAGUGCGUGAGGCGGCCAGAUGGAGCCAGAGCAUCACUGAGAUAGACUCUGAGAAUGCGGGAAGAGGUAGGAAGGGAGUGUACAUCAAAUGAGAAAAAAAGAGCCUUAACCGUUACACAAUUAUCUAUGUGAAAGAAAUGGAAAAAUAGGGAACAAAGCAUCUGCAAGAGUAAAUUUUGGGUUUUUACAAGUCAGGUAUGCACAAUACUGCCAUCCUGUGAAUUAUAGGUGGUACAGGGCUUGUUCAGGGUAACCUCCUCAGAUUUCUUAUAUCCUGGCUAUUUUUCUGAAGGGAUCUGAAUAAAUUAACAGAGAACCAGGUAACA